CCUACGGGUGGCAGCAGUGGGGAAUAUUGGACAAUGGGCGCAAGCCUGAUCCAGCAAUACCGCGUGAGUGAUGAAGGUCUUCGGAUUGUAAAGCUCUUUUAGUGGAGAAGAUAAUGACGGUAUCCACAGAAAAAGCACCGGCAAACUUCGUGCCAGCAGCCGCGGUAAUACGAAGGGUGCUAGCGUUGUUCGGAAUCAUUGGGCGUAAAGCGUGCGUAGGCGGCUUAGUAAGUCGUUUGUGAAAUACCUAGGCUUAACUUAGGAACUGCAAUCGAAACUACUUUGCUAGAGUUUGGUGGGGGAUAGUGGAACUCCUAGUGUAGGGGUGAAAUCCGUAGAGAUUAGGAGGAAUAUCAGUGGCGAAGGCGACUAUCUACACCAAUACUGACGCUGAGGUACGAAAGCGUGGGGAGCAAACAGGAUUAGAUACCCCAGUAGUC
rnacentral:rRNA from 1 species